rnacentral:rRNA from 1 species
UACGUAGGGUGCAAGCGUUGUCCGGAAUUAUUGGGCGUAAAGAGCUCGUAGGUGGCGGGUCACGUCGGGUAUGAAAGCCCGGGGCUUAACCCCGGGUCUGCAUUCGAUACGGGUCUGCUGGGGUCCGGCAGGGGAGACUGGAAUUCCUGGUGUAGCGGUGAAAUGCGCAGAUAUCAGGAGGAACACCGGUGGCGAAGGCGGGUCUCUGGGCCGGUACCGACGCUGAGGAGCGAAAGCGUGGGGAGCGAACAGG